rnacentral:rRNA from 1 species
AUUGAACGCUGGCGGCAGGCUUAACACAUGCAAGGCGAACGAGCGGCGGACGGGUGAGUAAUGUCUGGGAAACUGCCUGAUGGAUGGGGAUAACUACUGGAAACGGUAGCUAAUACCGCAUACCCUCAGAUGUGCCCAGAUGGGAUUAGCUAGUAGGGGGGGUAAUGGCUCACCUAGGCGACGCUCCCUAGCUGGUCUGAGAGGAUGACCAGCCACACUGGAACUGCGACGCGGUCCAGACUCCUACGGGAGGCAGCAGUGGGGAAUCUUGCACAUUGGGCGCAAGCCUGCUGAAGCCAGGCCGCGUGUGUGAAGAAGGCCUUCGGGUUGUAAAGCACUUUCAGCGAGGAGGCGUUACUCGCAGAAGAAGCACCGGCUAACUCCGUGCCAGCCGCCGCGGUAAUUC